AAAUGAAUUGACGGGGGCCCGCACAAGCGGUGGAGCAUGUGGUUUAAUUCGAUGCAACGCGAAGAACCUUACCAGGGCUUGACAUCCCUCUGACAAGGCUAGAGAUAGUCUUUCCCUUCGGGGCAGAGGAGACAGGUGGUGCAUGGCUGUCGUCAGCUCGUGUCGUGAGAUGUUGGGUUAAGUCCCGCAACGAGCGCAACCCUUGCCUUUAGUUGCCAUCAUUAAGUUGGGCACUCUAGAGGGACUGCCGGCGACAAGUCGGAGGAAGGUGAGGUUGACGUCAAGUCAUCAUGCCCCUUAUGUCCUGGGCUACACACGUGCUACAAUGGGCAGUACAGAGGGAAGCGAAAGGGCGACCUGGAGCUAAUCCCAGAAAGCUGCUCUCAGUUCGGAUUGUAGUCUGCAACUCGACUGCAUGAAGUCGGAAUCGCUAGUAAUCUCGGGUCAGCAUACCGAGGUGAAUACGUUCCCGGGCCUUGUACACACCGCCCGU
rnacentral:rRNA from 1 species